CUGAGCUGUGCGCCUGCGCACUGGGCACACAGCUGAUAACUCAUCUAUUAUGCUACUUGGCUAAAACCGAGCGGAGAGAGAAGCCGCCGCAGCCGCCGCGGGACGCACCGGAGGAGCCGAACUCAAAGUAAAGCCGCUCUCUGACCGGGGCCGGGGGUGAGCAGGCGGGAUAACGGGCCGGAGCGGAGUCCCGGUGUGAGAUGGGAGUUUGUCUCCUCGAGGGAAACAUCAAGCUUAAGGAACGUCCCCAACCAAACCUGAACUGAACACACACCUGUGUGCCCACACACACACACACACACCCACACCCCCCCACACACACACACACACACACACCCUCUCCCUCCCUCAGACCACUGGGGGAAUUGUUUUUUCAUCGUCAGGUCAGACACUGCUGUCCCACGGUGCAUUGUUACGUCAACAUCGUCCACCAUGUCGGACGCCCCCGAGGCUGCGCCACCCAGCCCCCCUACCCUCACCAACCCACCCCCCCCUGAGGUCACAAAUCCCACUAAACCUGGCAG